UACGUAGGGCGCAAGCGUUAUCCGGAAUUAUUGGGCGUAAAGAGCUCGUAGGCGGUUUGUCGCGUCUGCCGUGAAAGUCCGGGGCUCAACUCCGGAUCUGCGGUGGGUACGGGCAGACUAGAGUGAUGUAGGGGAGACUGGAAUUCCUGGUGUAGCGGUGAAAUGCGCAGAUAUCAGGAGGAACACCGAUGGCGAAGGCAGGUCUCUGGGCAUUAACUGACGCUGAGGCACGAAAGUGUGGGGAUCAAACAGG
rnacentral:rRNA from 1 species